CUUGGAUGUUCUAGGCUCUGAUGAGCAUCAAUCUGACUAUAAGCUCAUGCAUGAUCCCAGCCAACACCACAUGGAUCAGAGCCACUCACUGAGCCCAGGCAUCAAUGCUCCCCCCAUGCAAGUUUUUGGGGAAGUAGGGGUUUUACUUAUGAAGACUUCCAAAAGCUGUUAAAAUCCAAGAGGAUGAAGAUCCAGAUUUAGUACUGGCUACCACUACAGAAACUCACCACGUCUAAAGUGCUGUGUUGGAGAUUUUAAGUACAUCGUCAGAAUCUGCCAAGAUGGUUUUCAAGGUAAGACAUCAUCAACUCUUCCUGAUUCUACACAGCUUUCAGCCUUUGUAUUUCAACUAGGAAGUUGGCUCCAUUGAUUUGGACAAGGCCAGCCUCCAUAAUCAU